rnacentral:rRNA from 1 species
CACGUAGGCACCAAGCGUUAUCCGGAUUUAUUGGGCGUAAAGAGCUCGUAGGCGGUUCGGUAAGUCGGGUGUGAAAACUCUGGGCUCAACCCAGAGAGGCCACCCGAUACUGCUGUGACUAGAGUGCGGUAGGGGAGCGGGGAAUUCCUGGUGUAGCGGUGAAAUGCGCAGAUAUCAGGAGGAACACCGGUGGCGAAGGCGGGUCUCUGGGCCGAUACUGACGCUGAGGUGCGAAAGCAUGGGGAGCAAACAGG